rnacentral:rRNA from 1 species
CGACCAGACUCCUACGGGAGGCAGCAGUGAGGAAUAUUGGUCAAUGGCCGUAAGGCUGAACCAGCCAAGUAGCGUGAGGGAAGACUGCCCUAUGGGUUGUAAACCUCUUUUAUGCGGGGAUAAAGGUGUCCACGUGUGGAUGUUUGCAGGUACCGCAUGAAUAAGGACCGGCUAAUUCCGUGCCAGCAGCCGCGGUAAUACGGAAGGUCCGGGCGUUAUCCGGAUUUAUUGGGUUUAAAGGGUGCGUAGGCGGACUGUUAAGUCGGCGGUAAAAGCCCGGGGCCCACCCCCGGCGAGCCGUUGAAACUGGCUGUCUUGAGAUGUCGAGAGGUAUGCGGAAUGCGCAGUGUAGCGGUGAAAUGCUUAGAUAUCACGCAGAACUCCGAUUGCGAAGGCAGCAUACCGGCGCUCAACUGACGCUCAUGCACGAAAGUGUGGGUAUCGAACAGGAUUAGAUACCCUUGUA